rnacentral:rRNA from 1 species
AACUUUCAACAACGGAUCUCUUGGUUCUGGCAUCGAUGAAGAACGCAGCGAAAUGCGAUAAGUAAUGUGAAUUGCAGAAUUCAGUGAAUCAUCGAAUCUUUGAACGCGACAUUG